AUUGAACGCUGGCGGCAGGCCUAACACAUGCAAGUCGAACGAGUGGUGGAAGGGUGAGUAAUGUCUGGGAAACUGCCCGAUGGAGGGGGAUAACUACUGGAAACGGUAGCUAAUACCGCAUAUAAGCGGAUGUGCCCCUAUGGGAUUAGCUAGUAGGUGGGGUACCGGCUCACUUAGGCGGAGAUGCCUAGCUGGUCUGAGAGGAUGACCAGCAACACUGGAACUGAUACACGUGCCAGAUGCGUACGGGAGGCAUCAGUGGGGAAUAUUGCACAAUGGGCGCAAGCCUGAUGCAGCCAUGCCGCGUGUAUGAAGAAGGCCUUCGGGUUGUAAAGUACUUUCAGCGAGGAGGCGUUACUCGCAGAAGAAGCACCGGCUAACUCCGUGCCAGCAGCCGCGGUAAUAC
rnacentral:rRNA from 1 species